rnacentral:rRNA from 1 species
CCCUUAGAUGUUCUGGGCCGCACGCGCGCUACACUGACGAUGGCAACGAGUUUUUCCUUCGCCGAAAGGUGUGGGUAAUCUUUUGGAACAUCGUCGUGCUGGGGAUAGAUCAUUGCAAUUUUUGAUCUUGAACGAGGAAUUCCUAGUAAGCGCGAGUCAUCAGCUCGCGUUGAUUACGUCCCUGCCCUUUGUACACACCGCCCGUCGCUACUACCGAUUGAAUGGUUUAGUGAGGACUCCUGAUUGGCGCCGCCGCCCCGGCAACGGAGCAGCGGACUGCCGAAAAGUUGUUCAAACUUGAUCAUUUAGAGGAAGUAAAAGUCGUAACA